rnacentral:rRNA from 1 species
GAUGAACGCUGGCGGCGUGCUUAACACAUGCAAGUCGAACGAUGAAGCCCAGCUUGCUGGGUGGAUUAGUGGCGAACGGGUGAGUAACACGUGAGUAACCUGCCCUUAACUCUGGGAUAAGCCUGGGAAACUGGGUCUAAUACCGGAUAGGAGCGUCCACCGCAUGGUGGGUGUUGGAAAGAUUUAUCGGUUUUGGAUGGACUCGCGGCCUAUCAGCUUGUUGGUGAGGUAAUGGCUCACCAAGGCGACGACGGGUAGCCGGCCUGAGAGGGUGACCGGCCACACUGGGACUGAGACACGGCCCAGACUCCUACGGGAGGCAGCAGUGGGGAAUAUUGCACAAUGGGCGCAAGCCUGAUGCAGCGACGCUGCGUGAGGGAUGACGGCCUUCGGGUUGUAAACCUCUUUCAGUAGGGAAGAAGCGAAAGUGACGGUACCCGCAGAAGAAGCACCGGCUAACUACGUG